AAAGAAUUAGUUAAAUUAUAAUAUUAAAAUGUCAUUUUGAAGUUAUUAAGAAUUAAUAUUCUUUA
rnacentral:tRNA from 2 species